rnacentral:rRNA from 1 species
AGAAGAAGCACCUGACUAACUCCGUGCCAGCAGCGCGGUAAAUACGGAGGGGUGCAAGCGUUAAUCGGAAUUACUGGGCGUAAAGCGCACGCAGGCGGUUGGUUAAGUCAGAUGUGAAAUCCCGGGCUCCAACCUGGGAAACUGCAUCUGAUACUGGCAAGGCUUGAGUCUCGUAGAGGGGGGGGUAGAAUUCCCAGGUGUAGCGGGUGAAAUGCGUAGAGAUCUGGAGGAAUACCGGUGGCGAAGGGCGGCCCCUGGACGAAGACUGACGCUCAGGUGCGAAAGCGUGGGGAGCAAACAGGAUUAGAUACCCUGGUAGUCCACGCCGUAAACGAUGUCGACUUGGAGGUUGUGCCCCUUGAGGCGUGGCUUCCGGAGCUAACGCGUUAAGUCGACCGCCUGGGGAGUACGGCCGCAAGGUUAAAACUCAAAUGAAUUGACGGGGGCCCGCACAAGCGGUGGAGCAUGUGGUUUAAUUCGAUGCAACGCGAAGAACCUUACCUGGUCUUGACAUCCACGGAAGUUUUCAGAGAUGAGAAUGUGCCUUCGGGAACCGUGAGACAGGUGCUGCAUGGCUGUCGUCAGCUCGUGUUGUGAAAUGUUGGGUUAAGUCCCGCAACGAGCGCAACCCUUAUCCUUUGUUGCCAGCGGUCCGGCCGGGAACUCAAAGGAGACUGCCAGUGAUAAACUGGAGGAAGGUGGGGAUGACGUCAAGUCAUCAUGGCCCUUACGACCAGGGCUACACACGUGCUACAAUGGCGCAUACAAAGAGAAGCGACCUCGCGAGAGCAAGCGGACCUCAUAAAGUGCGUCGUAGUCCGGAUUGGAGUCUGCAACUCGACUCCAUGAAGUCGGAAUCGCUAGUAAUCGUGGAUCAGAAUGCCACGGUGAAUACGUUCCCGGGCCUUGUACACACCGCCCGUCACACCAUGGGAGUGGGUUGCAAAAGAAGUAGGUAGCUUAACCUCGGAGGCGCUAC